rnacentral:rRNA from 1 species
UACGUAGGGUGCAAGCGUUAAUCGGAAUUACUGGGCGUAAAGCGUGCGCAGGCGGUUAUAUAAGACAGUUGUGAAAUCCCCGGGCUCAACCUGGGAACUGCAUCUGUGACUGUAUAGCUAGAGUACGGUAGAGGGGGAUGGAAUUCCGCGUGUAGCAGUGAAAUGCGUAGAUAUGCGGAGGAACACCGAUGGCGAAGGCAAUCCCCUGGACCUGUACUGACGCUCAUGCACGAAAGCGUGGGGAGCAAAC